rnacentral:tRNA from 1 species
GGGGCUGUGGCUCAGUGGCAGAGUGCUCGUCUUGGAGGUGUGAGGCCCUGGGUUCGAUCCUCAGCACCACA